rnacentral:lncRNA from 1 species
UUUCAAAAUGUUAAAAUAAAUGUUAAUCUUUAUAUUAAUUUAAUUAAGUCUCCAUUUGUUUUUAGAAAAUAAUUUAUUUUUAAAAAAUAUUUUUUAAAUGAUUUAUUUGAUUAUAAUAUUGAAAAUCAAUUAAAAAUUACUUUCUAAUUUAUCCCUUUUAUGACUCUCGGAUGUUCUCUUAUACUACACAAUGGCUUUUUCUUUCGGUUGAUUUGAUAUUCUAAAUUGCCUUUUCUUUUAGUUUUACAUUACAUUGUUGUUGGUUUUCUUUUUCUAUUUUAAAUAUGUUAUAUAUUUUAAAUAUAUUGUAUCUAAACAUAGAUUUUAUUUUGUAGGAUAUAAUGUCAACAUUUUGAGAGUAUAGAUUGUGAAGAUGGUAGCAAAAAUGAGACAAAUAUGUCUAUGCCUUCUGCAAAUAUGUUUUUGUUGUAGUGUUAUUUUUUACUUUUUACUUCAGUAAUUUUUUUUAUUGACAUACUUUUUAUUAUGUUUUAUAUUCAUUUAGUUCUCAUUCUAUGAUAAUUUGUUAUAAUUUAGUAUUAUUAUAUUUUAAUUAGUUUUUAGUUUGUGGUUGAUAUUAUGGAUAUUGAAUUUUAAUAGAUGUUUGAUUGUCAAAUUCUUUGAUUGAGAAUUGAGAUAUUUGUUUGAAUUUCAAUUCUUUUGUUCUAUUUUAAUAUUUUGAUUGAUCGAGAAUAUUACAGGUUAAUUUGUUUUAUUAUUUUGAAUAUUACAUAUUAAGUUGU